GUGAAUCAUCGAAUUUUUGAACGCAAAUUGCACUUUCUGGUAUUCCGGGGAGUAUGCCUGUUUGAGGGUCAGUUAAAUAAAAAUCUGUUAUGUUGCUGCUUUUCGUGGUGACGCGUCGUAGUUGCUUUGUCUUACCUUCGGUUACGUUCCUUAAAAUUUUCGCAUGAUUUUCGAACGUAUUUAACUA
rnacentral:misc_RNA from 1 species